CGAAGACCAAGUAAACCCCCCUCUACGCCAAUCUCAAGAUCGGUUCCAUACCCAAGGCUUGUCUUUCUAUCUGAUGGGAGAUCGUUGGUUUAGGCCCCUGAUGUGUAGAUGCGUGCUUGUAUGAUUGUUUGGGAUUGGCCAUCGACUUGGGAUCUUUGGGCGGUCGAGGCUGAGAGGCAGCCAAUGCUUAAUAUGAAGACCACGUACUGGAAACCACGCCCCAGAAGCUGCCUCCGCCGCGUCUGAUGAGUUCCGCUGUGUCGCCGAGCCCCACCGCCUCGGUGGCUCAGGCCACCACGCCAUAUGUUGUGGAUAAUUGUAGAAAUGAUGACUAUAUAGCAAAGAGAACUCCAUGAAACAUCA